rnacentral:rRNA from 1 species
CGUGUAGGCGGUUUGGUAAGUCAGAUGCGAAAGCCCUGGGCUUAACCCAGGAAGUGCAUUUGAUACUGCCAUUCUUGAGUAUGGGAGAGGAGAGUGGAAUUCCCAGUGUAGAGGUGAAAUUCGUAGAUAUUGGGAGGAACACCCGUGGCGAAGGCGACUCUCUGGACCAAUACUGACGCUGAGACGCGAAAGCGUGGGGAGCAAACA